rnacentral:tRNA from 2 species
GCCCGGUUAGCUCAGAUGGUAGAGCAUCAGACUUUUAAUCUGAGGGUCAUGGGUUCGAGCCCCAUAUCGGGGU